rnacentral:rRNA from 1 species
GAUGAACGCUAGCUACAGGCUUAACACAUGCAAGUCGAGGGGAAACGACAUCGAAAGCUUGCUUUUGAUGGGCGUCGACCGGCGCACGGGUGAGUAACGCGUAUCCAACCUGCCCACCACUUGGGGAUAACCUUGCGAAAGUAAGACUAAUACCCAAUGACGCCUCUAGAAGACAUCUGAAGGAGAUUAAAGAUUUAUCGGUGAUGGAUGGGGAUGCGUCUGAUUAGCUUGUUGGCGGGGUAACGGCCCACCAAGGCGACGAUCAGUAGGGGUUCUGAGAGGAAGGUCCCCCACAUUGGGACGGAGACACGGUCCAAACGCCUACGGGAGGCAGCAGUGAGGAAUAUUGGUCAAUGGGCGAGAGCCUGAACCAGCCAAGUAGCGUGCAGGAUGACGGCCCUAUGGGUUGUAAACUGCUUUUAUAAGGGAAUAAAGUGAGUCUCGUGAGACUUUUUGCAUGUACCUUAUGAAUAAGGACCGGCUAAUUCCGUGCCAGCCGCCGCCGUAA